UACAGAGGUCUCAAGCGUUGUUCGGAAUCACUGGGCGUAAAGGGUGCGUAGGCGGCACGGUAAGUCAGGUGUGAAAGCCCGGAGCUCAACUUCGGAACUGCACCCGAUACUGCCGUGCUUGAGGACUGGAGAGGAGAUUGGAAUUCACAGUGGAGCAGUGAAAUGCGUAGAUAUUGUGAGGAACACUAGUGGCGAAGGCGAAUCUCUGGACAGUUUCUGACGCUGAGGCACGAAGGCCAGGGGAGCAAACGGG
rnacentral:rRNA from 1 species